rfam:Daphnia pulex DAPPTscaffold_42_Cont2391, whole genome shotgun sequence.
CUAAAGGUCCUUCUGAGGACCGCCAAAAUCUUAAGAAAAGAGAUGG